rnacentral:rRNA from 1 species
GACGAACCGUCCUAACGUUGUUCGGAAUCACUGGGCUUAAAGGGCGCGUAGGCGGCUUGCCAAGUCAGGGGUGAAAUCCUGCAGCUUAACUGUAGAAGGGCCUUUGAUACUGGCGAGCUCGAGGGAGGUAGGGGUAUGUGGAACUUCCGGUGGAGCGGUGAAAUGCGUAGAUAUUGGGAAGAACACCGGUGGCGAAGGCGGCGACCUGGUCCUUUACUGACGCUGAGGCGCGAAAGCGUGGGGAGCAAACAGG